CAAAUGUGAUUCUUGUUUUUGUUUCUCAUUCACCAAACCUUAUAUUGUUUGUUUUCAUUGAUUCCUGUUGAUUAUUAUUAUCAUUAUUAACAUUAUUAGUGUUUAUACCUUUAAUACAAAUGAAAGGCUGAAUGGGAAAAGAUGAUGGUGAAAAUGAUGGUGAAGAUGAUGGUGAAGAUGAUGAUAGUGAUGGUGAAGAGGAAAAUGAAGAAGACGAUGAAGAAAAUGUUGAAGAAAAUGAUGAAGAAGCUUGUAAGAAGCAGUAAGCAGUUGAGAAGAGAGGAGUUAAUUUACCACUCCUUUUCAUGUUGAUGAAGAUAAUUAAUUGACAUUUUAUUCAGAUUAAAAUAUCGUUUACUUAAUUAUAGAGGAUCGGGAAUUUGAUUAAGUUUUGACUUGGGUCAAGAUUUAUGAUGACAUCAAAUAAAACACAUACCAAUAUGGACGACAACCUCGCCAAUAAUAUUUUUCAUGGAAAUUUUUUCAAUAUUUUUGACUUUUCCAUUUUUCAAUUUGCGCGCUUUACUUUUCCAUACGAUUCUCAUUGGUUGUCAAUGUUGUUAUGUUAAUGUUGUCGGCGUUUUGUUUCACUUUAUUUCAACUUUUGAUUUCUGUUUAAUUUUUUAUAUUUUAUUCAACUACUUUUUUUAAUACAUUUUAAUUGUGUUCCUUUUAAUUUUGUGAUUAUUAUGAAUCUCUCUUUGCCUUCUUUAUUCACCUUAAUCAUUAUGAUUACCUUAUUAAGUGAAAAACGAGUGAGUGAGUUAAUUAAUGUACUGCUAUUGAAGGUUAGAAACAAGUUGAACUAUUAUUAUCUUUAGCAUUUUUUUCGGUACCUGAAUGUUAAUGUUUACUAAUGAAUAUUUAAUCGCAACGAGAAGAGAGAAAGUUAAUCAUUUAACAUUGAUUUCUAUUGCUAUUAUUUAAUGGUAAUAAAAUAAUAAAUAUAAUCAUAAUGAUAAUAGUGGUAAUCAUAAUAAGGGAAUAAUCAAGGAGAAGAAGACAAAAAUCUUUUUUUUGUGUGUUCGCUUCGCUUUUCUUUUGCGAUGCUUUGGUUGCAGUUUUUUCUUGAAUUGGUCCAAUGUAAUCAACUUUUUUGCCAACCCAAAAUUUCAUUUAUAUUUUCUGGUUAAAUAGAGUAAUAAACAGAAGGUAAAAGAUGAUGUUAAUUAAAACGGUUUGGUUUGGAUCUAAUUAACUGAUAGUGAACGCUAAUUAAAAGCAAAUCAACAGUAAAACCUCUUUUGCUAGUUAAUUAAACAUCAAGUAAUUUUUAUUUAGUUUAGUGAGUGAAAAAACGACAAGAGAUGCUGAUGAAGUUGAUCUUGAUUAUAAAGACUAUGGUGAUAAUGAUGGAGUAAAAAUUAAGCUAAUAAUUGAAGAUGUGAUUGCUUGAUUGUAGGGAGUGAAAAACUGUUCAACUAAAAAAUAGGGAAAAAACUAAAACAACAAUUUACUCAAUCAAUAACAAUUGUCAGUGAUCAGUUUGAUUAGUUUCAAUAGUAAUUUUCGCUAAUUACAACACUCUGGUAUGCCGUGUUUAAACAAUGUGAUAAAUAAUCAUUCCCAGUAGCAAUUAACAUUGCAAUUACAGAAACUAUGAUAAAUUGGAUUUCAUGAAGCAACAAUAAGAGUUGGAUUUCCAUUGUACAUCAUUAUAAUCAAUCAAAGGAAUGGAUAAUUAUUACAAUGUUCACUGGAAGAAGCUUAACCAAUGGAUGGCUGCCGUUGAUUGUGAUGAUAAUUCAGAUGAUUAUUGUAAUCGUGAUUGUUGAUUGAAACUGAUAAAAGGCCUGUUUAAUGAUGAGUGGGUUAAGUUUAUCAACCAAUCGAGAAGUAGAGAAGACCAAUCUGAUUAAAUCAUUUAGUGUAAAAAUGACCAGGUAAAAACAAGAUGAUCAUCUUGAUUUACUUGAGACGCUUGGAUGUUGUCAUUGCCUCUAUGGAACCUCGCACCCAAAUGUAAUAUGUGGUGGUAAAGAAAGGCUCAAAGUAAUCAAUUGUAAUAGUUAAUUAAGAUGGAACCAUAAAUUGCUUUCACCAAUUAACCAAGGAAUACUUUAACUUCACUUUAGGGUAUUGAGAUUGAAAAGAAGCAAAUGAAAAGCCAAAAAAACUAACAUGAAACAAAAUAGUUGAGAUUAAGCCGAUGAUGAAGAUAUCUUCAUUAUUCAGUUUUGUUUGUUAACAACAUUCAGCUUUGUGUCACAAUCACAAUUUACUGAUUGAUAAAUUCAUUGCCUAAGAUGUCAAUUAAAAAAAACACAUUCAAUUGCCUUGAUUUUUAAA